GACGAACGCUGGCGGCGUGCUUAACACAUGCAAGUCGAACGGCAAGGCCCUGCUUUUUUGGGCUGCUCGAGUGGCGAACGGGUGCGUAACACGUGAGUAACCUGCCCUUGACUUUGGGAUAACUUCAGGAAACUGGGGCUACUACCGGAUAGGAGCUCCUCCUGCAUGGUGGGGGUUGGAAAGUUUCGGCGGUUGGGGAUGGACGCGCGGCUUAUCAGCUUGUUGGUUGGCUAGUGGCUUACCAAGGCUUUGGCGGGUCGCCGGCCUGUGAGGGUGAACGGCGACAAUGGGCCUGAGAGACGGAGCAGAGUGCAACGGGAGGCAGGAGGGGGGAAUAUUGCACAAUGGGCGGAAGCCGGAUGCAGAAACGCCGCGUGCGGGAUGACGGCCUGCGGGUUGUAAAACGCUUUCGCCUGUGACGAAGCGGGAGUGACGGUAAUGGGUAAAGAAGCACCGGCUAACUACGUG
rnacentral:rRNA from 1 species